AUCCGUGUAAAGAUUCUCAGACCAUAGGAAGUGUCGUAUGACACUGUAAACCAAUAGCUUCAGCUGCUUCUGACAUUGUAAACUUUGUGGUUUGGUCUGUUCCAAAAUCUCUAUUUGCAGCCGGUUUGGUUCAGGUGUGUGCGUGAUUUAAAACGGGUCUCUGAGAU
rnacentral:snoRNA from 1 species